rnacentral:rRNA from 1 species
UGAGGAAUAUUGGUCAAUGGACGAGAGUCUGAACCAGCCAAGUAGCGUGAAGGAUGACUGCCCUAUGGGUUGUAAACUUCUUUUAUAAGGGAAUAAAGUGCACCACGUGUGGUGUUUUGUAUGUACCUUAUGAAUAAGGAUCGGCUAACUCCGUGCCAGCAGCCGCGGUAAUACGGAGGAUCCGAGCGUUAUCCGGAUUUAUUGGGUUUAAAGGGAGCGUAGGCGGCAGGUUAAGUCAGUUGUGAAAGUUUGCGGCUCAACCGUAAAAUUGCAGUUGAUACUGGCCUGCUUGAGUGCGGCAGAGGCAGGCGGAAUUUGUGGUGUAGCGGUGAAAUGCUUAGAUAUCACGAAGAACUCCGAUUGCGAAGGCAGCUUGCUGGAGCGUAACUGACGCUGAUGCUCGAAAGUGCGGGUAUCAAACAGG